rnacentral:rRNA from 1 species
UUAACUGGAGAGUUUGAUCCUGGCUCAGAACGAACGCUGGCGGCGUGCCUAACACAUGCAAGUCGUGCGGGAAAGCGGGGGCAACCCUGCAAGUACAGCGGCGCACGGGUGAGUAACACGUAGGUAACCUGCCCGCGGGACCGGGAUAACCUGUCGAAAGACGGGCUAAUACCGGAUAAGACCACGGGGGCCUCGGCCCCUGAGGUAAAAGGUGGCCUCUGCUUGCAAGCUACCACCUGCGGAUGGGCCUGCGCGCCAUUAGCUAGUUGGUGAGGUAACGGCCCACCAAGGCGAAGAUGGCUAGCUGGUCUGAGAGGAUGUCCAGCCACACUGGGACUGAGACACGGCCCAGACUCCUACGGGAGGCAGCAGUGGGGAAUAUUGCGCACUGGGCGAAAGCCUGACGCAGCGACGCCGCGUGGGUGUUGAUGGCCUUCGGGUCGUAUAGCCCUGUCGGGGGGGACGAAACCUCUCGGUGUUAAUAACGCCGAGACCUGACGGUACCUCCUAAGGAAGCACCGGCUAACUCCGUGCCAGCAGCCGCGGUAAUACGGAGGGUGCGAGCGUUGUUCGGAAUCACUG